rnacentral:lncRNA from 1 species
AUGCACCACCACACCCAGCUAAUUUUUGUAUUAUUAGUAGAGACGGGGUUCCAUCAUGUUGUCCAGGCUGGUCUCAAACUCCUGACCUCAUGUGAUCUGCCUGCCUUGGCCUCCCAAAGUGCUGGGAUUACUGGCAUGAGCCACUGCACCGGCCGAUAAUUAGUUUGAAAUACAAACUCCUGUUCCUUCCUCACCAUAGGCCAAACUUUUAAAUACUUUUGGGAAUUCCAAUGUAGGCAACAUUUUGAGAAACACUACCUGAAAUUAGAGGCUUUCAAACUUUUUUGACCAGGACCAACAUUUUACAUCAAGACUCACAAAAUAUAAACAUAUUUAUAAUUAAAACAAGAGUUUCACAAAACAAUUGUUAUUCCUAUACAUGCAAUGCGCUCUGUUGUUUUCUGACCUAUUUCAUUUAAACAAUGCUGGUGUCAGAACCACUAGAUUGAUUUCAUGACCCACUAAUGGGUUGCAACUGCAACUUGAAAAACAUCAGUGCUUCUCAAAUUUUCCAGGAAACUUGAAUGACCUGGAGAUCUUGUUAUAAUACAAAUUCUAAUUCAGUAAGACUGGGGUGGGGCUUGACAUUCUGCAUUUCUAACGAGCUUCCAAGUGUUACUAAUGCCAUGUAGUACAUAUAUUACACCUCUAAUAUUAAUAGCAAGGCCUGGACCAUAAAGAACGCAAAGAGGUGGCAGCAAAUUUGAUGUCUCUCUCUGUCAUGAAACUACCUCCCUUUAUGAUAGUGAGCUUUAGAAGAAAUUGCAACUAGACUAGUGGCAUUAUUCUGCCCCGAUGUGGUAGACCGUGAGCUGUCCUUUAAGAUCAUUGCCACAGCCUGGCAAGGUGGCUCACGCCUGUUAUCCCAGCACUUUGGGAGGCUUAAGGGGACAGAUUGCUUGAGCUCAGGAGUUCCAGACCAGCCUGGCCAACAUGUAGAAACCCUGCCUCUAGUAAAAAUACAAAAAUUAGCUGGGUGUGGUGGCGGGUGCCUGUAAUCCCAGCUACUCAGGAGGCUGAAGCAGGAGAAUCGCUCGAACCCGGGAGGCAGAGGUUGCAGUGAGUCUAGAUUGUGCCAUUGCUCUCCAGCCUAGGCAACAAGAGCAAAACCCCGUCUCAAAAAAAAAGAGUUGGUCCAAAGGUAGUGAGUUAUCUCAACUGAUUGUUCAUGUCAGUUACAGUUCAAACUCCUUGUUCCGCUCUUUCCUCUCUUCUCACUACUGCCCUUGACUAGUCCCAAAAAAAAGGAUAUAACUCAGCGUCCUAACAAGAAAAAAAUGGCAUAUGCAAACUAGGAUAAAUUGAGGAGGGUUUAUCUUCAAAGGAACUAAUUAAGAAUGUGUGGGCAGGGUGUAGGAAAACCAGAAAGAUAGUGGAGGAACGUGGUCUAGGCAUUCCUAGACUUGUAGGGACGAGGCAAGGGAGAGGUUGGAAGGGGAACCCUGUGUAGAGUGAGUUAUCUUAAGAGGAGCAAUGGCCUUCGGUUGAAGGAUACAGCUGCUUAACAUGACCUUCCAGGGAGGGAGCCAGGAGAAUAAAUAUACUGACCUCAUUCCGUUAAUAUAAUUCAUACAGACCAGGCUUCCAGGAAAGCAAGCACUGUAGAAAAGGGCAAAGAGUGGAUCCGUAGGGGUAGACUGAAGAUAUUCUGGGCAUAGCAAAAUAACAAGAAAUACAACAAUGAAUAGAAGGAGGACAACAGAGUAGACAUGUGGAGAGGAAAAAGAUGCUUUGCAAGAGAAAGAGAACAUGCUGCCUGUAACAGAGAUUGAAAGAGUAGCUCAUUUCUAGAGUUGCCUCAGAUCCUGAUGACUUUCCAGUCUGAGAUCUUGUUCCAGUUAUAGUCUCAGUGUAGCUUUACAAUAGACCCUCUGCUUUUAAAAUAGUCUCUGAGUAAUUCUGUUUCUUGCAACUCUAAAAGCCUAAUAAAAUGCUGGGUACAAUGGGAAUAAUUUAUUCCUCUUAAAAAUCCUGCAAACAAGGCUGCAUGCGGUGGCUGACACCUGUAGCCCCACACUUUGGGAGGCCAAGAUGGGUGGAUCACCUUAGGUCAGGAGUUCGAGACCAGCCUGGCCAACAUGGUGAAACUUCAUCUCUAUUAAAAAAAAAAAAUCUGCAAACAAAGACAUUUGAGACAGGUAGGCCUCUUACUGAGAAAGAAUUAUAACACUCUCCUCAGCUUUUUGUAGAGUGUCCAAAUUUAAAAAUAAAGGUGCCACUGUCAUGAAAACCACCUACUGCCAAAAUUCCAAAAUUAUAAAACUGACCUAAUUAAAUGAGCUCUCUUGGAUUAUGGAAAACACAGGUCACUCUUUGAACAAAUCACAGACUAUUCUACAGGAAAUUAAGACAAUAGUGCAUUUUUUCUUUAAUUGCCUUCUCUCACCCCCAGCUUUAUUGAUUUAUUGACACACAUAUUUAAUGUAUGUGUACAUUUUGAUCAGUUUUGACAUAUGUAUCCAUCAUCACAAUCAAAAUAACAUUUCCUUCUGCUCUAAAAGUUUAUUCUUACUCCUUGGUAAUCCCUGCCUCUGUCUACUUACAUCCCCAGGCAACCACUAAUCCACUUUUAUCGCUAUAGAUUAGUUUAAAUUUUCUAGAAUUUUAU